rnacentral:rRNA from 1 species
UACGGAGGGGGCUAGCGUUGUUCGGAAUUACUGGGCGUAAAGCGCACGUAGGCGGACCGGAAAGUCAGAGGUGAAAUCCCAGGGCUCAACCUUGGAACUGCCUUUGAAACUAUCGGUCUGGAGUGCGAGAGAGGUGAGUGGAAUUCCGAGUGUAGAGGUGAAAUGCGUAGAUAUUCGGAGGAACACCAGUGGCGAAGGCGGCUCACUGGAUCGAUACUGACGCUGAGGUGCGAAAGCGUGGGGAGCAAACAGG